UACGAGAGGCCCAAACGUUAUUCGGAUUUACUGGGCUUAAAGAGUUCGUAGGCGGCGCAGAAAGUAGGGUGUGAAAGCCCUCGGCUCAACCGAGGAAUUGCGCCCUAAACUACUGUGCUUGAGGAAUCUAGAGGUGAGCGGAACUGAUGGUGGAGCGGUGAAAUGCGUAGAUAUCUGGAGGAACACCGGUGGCGAAGGCGACAUCCUGGACCGGUAUUGACGCUGAGGCGCGAAAGCCAGGGGAGCAAACGGG
rnacentral:rRNA from 1 species